rnacentral:lncRNA from 1 species
CGAAGGUGGAAAAUAACCUUUUUCUUCCCCAAUGUGUGUUUCAAGGGUAGGAUUAUCAUCCUCAUUUUCAAAUCCAGGACAAUCAGAGAGGAUGGUGACUUCACUGAGGCCACACAGCGUGCUGGAGCCCGUGUUGCAGCGAGGAUCCAAGUCCUCUCUAUGCUGAAUGUUUUCCACGGUGUCUGGUCCCAAGAAUGCGCACCCCCUCACAGGGUCUCUCUUCCCUCCUCUCUAAAAUGGCGGGCUGCUAAAAUGGCACCUCUUCAGCGAAGUCUUCCCUUGCUGUUCCAACUGAGAAGACUCUCCUGGUUAUUGUCCAGCUCACCUCUUUUCAUUCCUUUCACGGCACUAAUGACCACAAAGGCCAACACAUUCGUUAACGUGCUUGUUAAUGAAUUGUGUAUGGUGAGCUCUCAGGGCAGGGACCACGUCUGUGGCACUGGCUGGGGUGAACGUUAUGGAGUCCUUAUUAUGUGCUGUGCCGUCUUAUAAAAACUUUGCC